rnacentral:tRNA from 1 species
GGGGGGACAUGGCAGGCCGUUCUUUUAACUCCUCCUUUCAGACGGCCGGGCGGUUCGAGUCCGCUACCCUCCACCA